CACGUGGUAUCCUGUCUGAAUAUGGGGGGACCAUCCUCCAAGGCUAAAUACUCCUGACUGACCGAUAGUGAACCAGUACCGUGAGGGAAAGGCGAAAAGAACCCCGGCGAGGGGAGUGAAAAAGAACCUGAAACCGUGUACGUACAAGCAGUGGGAGCCUCUUAAUGGGGUGACUGCGUACCUUUUGUAUAAUGGGUCAGCGACUUAUAUUCUGUAGCAAGGUUAACCGAAUAGGGGAGCCGAAGGGAAACCGAGUCUUAACUGGGCGUUAAGUUGCAGGGUAUAGACCCGAAACCCGGUGAUCUAGCCAUGGGCAGGUUGAAGGUUGGGUAACACUAACUGGAGGACCGAACCGACUAAUGUUGAAAAAUUAGCGGAUGACUUGUGGCUGGGGGUGAAAGGCCAAUCAAACCGGGAGAUAGCUGGUUCUCCCCGAAAGCUAUUUAGGUAGCGCCUCGUGAAUUCAUCUCCGGGGGUAGAGCACUGUUUCGGCAAGGGGGUCAUCCCGACUUACCAACCCGAUGCAAACUGCGAAUACCGGAGAAUGUUAUCACGGGAGACACACGGCGGGUGCUAACGUCCGUCGUGAAGAGGGAAACAACCCAGACCGCCAGCUAAGGUCCCAAAGUCAUGGUUAAGUGGGAAACGAUGUGGGAAGGCCCAGACAGCCAGGAUGUUGGCUUAGAAGCAGCCAUCAUUUAAAGAAAGCGUAAUAGCUCACUGGUCGAGUCGGCCUGCGCGGAAGAUGUAACGGGGCUAAACCAUGCACCGAAGCUGCGGCAGCGACACUAUGUGUUGUUGGGUAGGGGAGCGUUCUGUAAGCCUGUGAAGGUGGCCUGUGAGGGUUGCUGGAGGUAUCAGAAGUGCGAAUGCUGACAUAAGUAACGAUAAAGCGGGUGAAAAGCCCGCUCGCCGGAAGACCAAGGGUUCCUGUCCAACGUUAAUCGGGGCAGGGUGAGUCGACCCCUAAGGCGAGGCCGAAAGGCGUAGUCGAUGGGAAACAGGUUAAUAUUCCUGUACUUGGUGUUACUGCGAAGGGGGGACGGAGAAGGCUAUGUUGGCCGGGCGACGGUUGUCCCGGUUUAAGCGUGUAGGCUGGUUUUCCAGGCAAAUCCGGAAAACCAAGGCUGAGGCGUGAUGACGAGGCACUACGGUGCUGAAGCGACAAAUGCCCUGCUUCCAGGAAAAGCCUCUAAGCAUCAGGUAACAUCAAAUCGUACCCCAAACCGACACAGGUGGUCAGGUAGAGAAUACCAAGGCGCUUGAGAGAACUCGGGUGAAGGAACUAGGCAAAAUGGUGCCGUAACUUCGGGAGAAGGCACGCUGAUAUGUAGGUGAAGCGACUUGCUCGUGGAGCUGAAAUCAGUCGAAGAUACCAGCUGGCUGCAACUGUUUAUUAAAAACACAGCACUGUGCAAACACGAAAGUGGACGUAUACGGUGUGACGCCUGCCCGGUGCCGGAAGGUUAAUUGAUGGGGUUAGCGGUAACGCGAAGCUCUUGAUCGAAGCCCCGGUAAACGGCGGCCGUAACUAUAACGGUCCUAAGGUAGCGAAAUUCCUUGUCGGGUAAGUUCCGACCUGCACGAAUGGCGUAAUGAUGGCCAGGCUGUCUCCACCCGAGACUCAGUGAAAUUGAACUCGCUGUGAAGAUGCAGUGUACCCGCGGCAAGACGGAAAGACCCCGUGAACCUUUACUAUAGCUUGACACUGAACAUUGAGCCUUGAUGUGUAGGAUAGGUGGGAGGCUUUGAAGUGUGGACGCCAGUCUGCAUGGAGCCGACCUUGAAAUACCACCCUUUAAUGUUUGAUGUUCUAACGUUGGCCCGUAAUCCGGGUUGCGGACAGUGUCUGGUGGGUAGUUUGACUGGGGCGGUCUCCUCCUAAAGAGUAACGGAGGAGCACGAAGGUUGGCUAAUCCUGGUCGGACAUCAGGAGGUUAGUGCAAUGGCAUAAGCCAGCUUGACUGCGAGCGUGACGGCGCGAGCAGGUGCGAAAGCAGGUCAUAGUGAUCCGGUGGUUCUGAAUGGAAGGGCCAUCGCUCAACGGAUAAAAGGUACUCCGGGGAUAACAGGCUGAUACCGCCCAAGAGUUCAUAUCGACGGCGGUGUUUGGCACCUCGAUGUCGGCUCAUCACAUCCUGGGGCUGAAGUAGGUCCCAAGGGUAUGGCUGUUCGCCAUUUAAAGUGGUACGCGAGCUGGGUUUAGAACGUCGUGAGACAGUUCGGUCCCUAUCUGCCGUGGGCGCUGGAGAACUGAGGGGGGCUGCUCCUAGUACGAGAGGACCGGAGUGGACGCAUCACUGGUGUUCGGGUUGUCAUGCCAAUGGCACUGCCCGGUAGCUAAAUGCGGAAGAGAUAAGUGCUGAAAGCAUCUAAGCACGAAACUUGCCCCGAGAUGAGUUCUCCCUGA
rnacentral:rRNA from 1 species